AUAGAAAAAAAAAUGUUCAGUUUUACUUGAUUUAAUUUUUACUGUUGUUUUUUUUAAUAUGAGAGCUAUUUAGUUAUCUUGGUUUUUAACCAGAAUUAUUCAGAGUUCAGUUUAAUCUCGUUAUAACGUUCAUACGGAUAAUCGGAUGUAUCUCUAUAGUCGAAACACGAAUUUCGUCAAAAAGUGGAACUGUCUGGCAAUAGUACAAAACCCUUCAAUUUAAUUUUUGAGUAGACUAUACUAAAUGAAAAUGUAUAGUAAAGUUCAGUUUGUUUGAACACAAUAUUAAACAUAUGAACAUCUAUUUGAUUUGAUCACAAAUAAAAAUAUAUUACUUUAAACCAUUUUUAUUGAUAAGUAUAAAAUUAACUUUACUGUGUAACGACGAAGUAACAAAAUAAAUAAAAUACUGUUUA